UAGGGAAUCUUGCGCAAUGGGCGAAAGCCUGACGCAGCAACGCCGCGUGCGGGAUGAAGGCCUUCGGGUUGUAAACCGCUUUCAGCAGGGACGAAAUUGACGGUACCUGCAGAAGAAGCUCCGGCCAACUACGUGCCAGCAGCCGCGGUAAGACGUAGGGGGCGAGCGUUGUCCGGAAUCAUUGGGCGUAAAGGGCUCCUAGGUUGUUCAGUAAGUCGACUGUGAAAAUCCAAGGCUCAACCUUGGGACGCCAGUCGAUACUGCUGUGACUCGAGUUCGGUAGAGGAGUGUGGAAUUUCUGGUGUAGCGGUGAAAUGCGCAGAUAUCAGAAGGAACACCAACGGCGAAGGCAGCACUCUGGGCCGACACUGACACUGAAGAGCGAAAGCAUGGGGAGCAAACAGGAUUAGAUACCCCCGUAGUCC
rnacentral:rRNA from 1 species